UACUCACCAGGGGCAGCAGCCCAGCUUGCUCCUGUCUCCUUUUUAUGAGCAGUGCUGUCCUCUGAAUAGCACACAGAGAAGAGACUAAUAAUCAUACAAAUAUCAGGGAGAGCGGUCAAUCAUCACCUGAAAUAUUCAGUACACCUGAGGGAAAUCUGGGUGCUGCAGCCUGAAGAGUCUGCAAGUUUAGCAUGUAGAAAAGACAACAUUACUGCCUUAGAGGUGACCGGGCAUUCUCUGGGCAUCAGGCAACUCAAGUUGUCAUGCGAAGGAGGGUGGAAAGGAGGAGAAGCCUAUGCAAAUUGGAAUACACACAAUCUUCUGACAAUCACUGCAUCUUUCUGCUGUGAAAUCUAGUAACAGCUGGUUUGCUUUACAUGCAAGGAAAUAACAAAUUCACUGUAUUCUUCUUAGCACAUUAUGCUGGGAAUAAUCUGAAAAACAUGCUUAUGUUUUACAAAGAUCAUCUGAGAAACAACCUCUUCA